GACGAACGUUGGCGGCGUGCUUAACACAUGCAAGUCGAACGGAAAGGCCCUGCUUUUGUGGGGUGCUCGAGUGGCGAACGGGUGAGUAACACGUGAGUAACCUGCCCUUGACUUUGGGAUAACUUCAGGAAACUGGGGCUAAUACCGGAUAGGAGCUCCUGCUGCAUGGUGGGGGUUGGAAAGUUUCGGCGGUUGGGGAUGGACUCGCGGCUUAUCAGCUUGUUGGUGGGGUAGUGGCUUACCAAGGCUUUGACGGGUAGCCGGCCUGAGAGGGUGACCGGCCACAUUGGGACUGAGAUACGGCCCAGACUCCUACGGGAGGCAGCAGUGGGGAAUAUUGCACAAUGGGCGGAAGCCUGAUGCAGCAACGCCGCGUGCGGGAUGACGGCCUUCGGGUUGUAAACCGCUUUCGCCUGUGACGAAGCGUGAGUGACGGUAAUGGGUAAAGAAGCACCGGCUAACUACGUGCCAGCAGCCGCGGUGAUACGUAGGGUGCGAGCGUUGUCCGGAUUUAUUGGGCGUAAAGGGCUCGUAGGUGGUUGAUCGCGUCGGAAGUGUAAUCUUGGGGCUUAACCCUGAGCGUGCUUUCGAUACGGGUUGACUUGAGGAAGGUAGGGGAGAAUGGAAUUCCUGGUGGAGCGGUGGAAUGCGCAGAUAUCAGGAGGAACACCAGUGGCGAAGGCGGUUCUCUGGGCCUUUCCUGACGCUGAGGAGCGAAAGCGUGGGGAGCGAACAGGCUUAGAUACCCUGGUAGUCCACGCUGUAAACGGUGGGUACUAGGUGUGGGAUCCAUUCCACGGGUUCCGUGCCGUAGCUAACGCUUUAAGUACCCCGCCUGGGGAGUACGGCCGCAAGGCUAAAACUCAAAGGAAUUGACGGGGCCCCGCACAAGCGGCGGAGCAUGCGGAUUAAUUCGAUGCAACGCGUAGAACCUUACCUGGGUUUGACAUGGAUCGGGAGUGCUCAGAGAUGGGUGUGCCUCUUUUGGGGUCGGUUCACAGGUGGUGCAUGCCUGUCGUCAGCUCGUGUCGUGAGAUGUUGGGUUAAGUCCCGCAACGAGCGCAACCCUUGUUCACUGUUGCCAGCACGUUAUGGUGGGGACUCAGUGGAGACCGCCGGGGUCAACUCGGAGGAAGGUGGGGAUGACGUCAAGUCAUCAUGCCCCUUAUGUCCAGGGCUUCACGCAUGCUACAAUGGCUGGUACAGAGAGUGGCGAGCCUGUGAGGGUGAGCGAAUCUCGGAAAGCCGGUCUCAGUUCGGAUUGGGGUCUGCAACUCGACCUCAUGAAGUCGGAGUCGCUAGUAAUCGCAGAUCAGCAACGCUGCGGUGAAUACGUUCCCGGG
rnacentral:rRNA from 1 species